UGAAAAACUUUGAUGCACUUUCCUUAUUUGCCAUUAUAAUUUUGAAGGUCGUGACAAAUGACAUGCCCCAUGUCCAUGAACCAACCACGUGGGAUGUUUGAUGAUAAUUGUUUGGUCCUUUUGCUUUCUGGAUAGGAUAAGGAUGGAUUAAUGCAAGUUUUUCUCUUUUGUUUGCUAUAUAGGUCCUAGUUCUAAGUUCUUACAAAACAAGAAAAUGUGUAGACGAUGAGUUGGCAAGGAAUUCAACUAUAUUGUUUGUCUCUUUGUGGAGAAACUGGAUUUUUAAGGCUUCUCUUAGUUUGAUUGUAUAUUUCUUAUUGGGAUUGCAAUUUGAUCUUCGGCGGCUAAGCUGAUUGCGUAUAUUAGAGUGUUUGAGCAAAGAUCAACUCGCCUUCUCAUGAAUUAUAUGGAGGAUUGCUACUUUCUUUUUAUGGAUGAUUGGUACAAUAAUUGUUGUUACUGUUGUUUAUCCUUAAUUAACAUUUAAAAUAUAGCAAAUAAAUGAUUAUUUCUUAAUUUAAGUUAGAAAAGCCUGCCACUAAUAUAGCCAAUUAAUCGCUUUUUCAGUUUAUAUUUUGUUCAGCUCUUUUGGGUCCUAACUCUUAAAUUUGCAAUGUCUUCUGGGAUACAAAACCAAUUCAUUUCUAUUAGUUUAUGUCACUUACCCAAAAGAAUUAUGCAUGUAAAAACAAUCUAAUUUUAGUUUAAAGCUUUAGGAUUUAGAUUUAUUAUGAAUUUAAAAAUUAUAUUUUAAUAAAAUUAAAAAAAUCAACGUUUACAUAAUCAAAUUAGUGGUUGAACUGAUUAGUCCCACUAAUUCGACUGGUAUGUCCAUUUGAUUAAAUAAAUUAUUAAAAAUUAUCAACAUAAAUAAAUAAAAAUCAGUUCAACUAUUCCAUACCAAUUUUCAAGUCAAUCAAUCUUAUGCCUUUUUCUAAGCCAGUAUCUCAAUCGAUUCUCAAUCCAACCAGCCUUACUAGCAAGUCCAAUUUGAUUCAAACAAUCAUGAAAAAAAACACUUCAUAGUAAUAUUUGUUUUUUUUUUUUAAGAUUGAUUUGCAAAUCUUUUUCUAAUUGAGCUGGGUUCGAUUAACUUAGAACAUUAACUCAAGACUUAAUAAUAAUAUAGUUAGAUGUCAAUUAAGUCUUAGCUUAGUUGGCGUCGACAUUAUUACCAAUACAAGAGGAUGUAAAUUCAAGUGCGCUCAAACACCUUUUAUCUUAUCUGUAAAAAUAAAUAUUUCAUAUUUAAUUAAUUGACACACAAAAAUGUUUUUAUUUUUAAAAGAGCACAAAAUUACAUCAAUGCAGUCCAUCAUGGGAGUAUAACUUUACAAAUAUAUCAUAAUUACACAAUAAUUAUAAAUAUAUAUGUAGGGACAAAGUUAAACUUUUUUACUAGAUUAAGUUGUAUAUUUUAUGAUAGUAAAAGUGUAAUUUUAUCAUUUUAAUAGUUUAUAUCUUUAUAGUUUUUAAAAGAUUAAUUAAAAUUUAUCAUUUUGGGGGUAAAUUGCAACUUUAUCAUUUCUAUUUUAAAAUUUUAUAAAUUAUAAAAAAGUUAAAAAGAAGAAAAUUAUCUUUUCAGGAGGGCCGAGGCCCUACCAACUCCUGAAUCCACCCCUACAUAUACGACACUUUCUUUUUUAUUCGCAAAAUAUAUGGAACUUUUAACAUACAUAAAUAUGACAAGAAAAGAUAGCAUAACUAAAAAAUACAAUGACUUGAGACUUAGUCCAAUUGGUAUAAUAACUUUUACAACAAUAAGAAUGACAUUGGUUCAAACGUAUUUAAGCAUGUUUUUCUUCGAUUUAAGGAUUUAGGUCUAUAACUAGAAAUAGACAUCGUAAAAAGCAACUAAACAAGUACUUACGCAGUUAUUACCAAAAUAAAUCAUCAUAAGUAUUAGAUUUAAUAAGUAACUCAUAUUAACUCAUAUAUAAUUUACAUGAUUGUAACUCAAACAUGUGACCUCAAUUUUACUAUUAAGGAAAGGCUUUAUUCUCUACAAAUUUUAAAAACAUAUUUUUAAUUGUUAGGACAUCUCUGAUUAAAGGUUGAAGUCUAGUUAAUUUAGAGUAUUAAACUAUAAAUCAUUCCUUAAACUUCCUGACAAUAUAUUAUAGGGUAGUUUAGUUCCAAAGUGUUACAAAAUAAGAUAGGCUGCCAAGAGGAGAUUGAUUUAACAAAAUUGAUUUGAACCACAAUUUUCUUAUUCAAGCUUCUUCGCUUUUGAUUAAUUUCAUUUCCAAAUAUUUAUUUUGAUUUAAUGAUUAAAAAUAGUGUAAAAUUUAUUACUUUUAAUAUAAUAAAGCUAAUUUCUUAUCGUUUAGCUUACAUUAUACAACAGCUUUGUAAAGAGUUUUUCAUUCAUCAAAUUAGCACAUAAGAACGGAAGGAAAGGGCAACUUAGAAAAAAUGUUCUUUUAACAAGUUUGUGUCACAGGUCGCAGUUCAAAGCCCAUGACCAUUGUAUAAAAUACAUCCUAUGAGGUCUAUCAGUUAGAUGGAGAUUAUUUGACUCACGAAAACUGACCCGAUUCAAAGAACUAAUGGAGAAGCCUAUCUAUUUAAAGCCUGGGUGGCUCAAUGAAGCAGAUAUAAAAAAUUAGGCUACCUUGGUAAAUAGGGAAACUAAUCUUAUAAGAUUGAGGGGAAUCAUAUCUGAUAAGAUUUGAUUUGAUUUGAUUAUGUAAAUCUUGUAAAUCCCUUAAUUAUUGGGAUAGACUUCAUCUCGUCUUGUAAAUCCCUUAAUUAUUGGGAUAGACUUCAUCUCGUCCGCCGAUGUAAAUUUAGCUAAACCAUUGGAUUUGGGGGAGCUCAUCUAUGAAUAGAGAGCCUCCCCCUCAGUUGUAAAUCACUCAUUGUAUUCCAUUCUUUAGUUGUGAAUAUUAAAUUGAGAGCAUUUACUCAAA